ACCAUCCUGGUCUUGGGGUGAGCGACUGUCCAAUGAACGCAUAGUGAGGGCAGUCCUGCUGACACCACUGACAACACAGCGCGCCACUAGUGUGCAGACGCUAGCACGGUGCAAUUUUUGGAACC